rnacentral:lncRNA from 1 species
CUCCAGGGAUGCAGCUAACAUGCACACUGGCUCUGUUCUUGCAGCCUGGUGAGGGAAGGGUGUCGGCAGGUACUGAUGGCCCUGUAGGGGUGUUAGAGUGUCAUCAAGAAACAGACACGGCUGGCCAGGCAUGGUGGCUCACACCUGUAAUCCCAGCGCUUUGGGAGGCCAAGGUGCGUGGAUCACAUGAGGUCAGGAGUUCAAGACCAGCCUCGCCAACAUGGCGAAACCCUGUCUCUACUAAAACUACAAAAAAUUAGCCAGGCAUGGUGGUGCAUGCCUGUAAUCCCAGCUACUUGGGAGGCUGCUCUGCCUGGACCCCACUUCUGCCUGCCAGCGUAGCAUCUCCACCUA